GGGGACGACAUGGCUUCGACGGGGGUUGCGAAGCGGAUGAGGGCAUGCCGGGAUCUCAGCACCCCGUUAAACGCUGAAUCGAUUUAGUCGCAAACGACGAAUCCUACGCUCUGGCUGCUUAAUCCCAGCCGGACGCUGCACUGAUCUGCUCAUGGGUCAGGCCGGGCAACCGGCAGCAGCGUUAUAUACAUGAGAUCGCAGUACGGCGGGCUACUUGUCGUACUGUCAAAUCUAGGUAGCUCGCGGAUGCCAAGCCUGUCGGUCGGCGUGUCACCCGUUAAAUCCAGUUGGCCAGACUAAGCAUGUAGAACUUGCCGUAGAGGGCUUUCGGACGCGGGUUCAAUUCCCGCCGUCUCCACCA
rnacentral:tmRNA from 1 species